rnacentral:rRNA from 1 species
GAUGAACGCUAGCGGCAGGCCUAAUACAUGCAAGACGAACGGCAAGAAUUGUAGCAAUACGGUUCCUAGAGUGUCGCACGGGUGCGUAACACGUAUGCAACCUACCUUGUACAGGAGUAUAGCUCUGGGAAACUCGAAUUAACCCUCCAUAAUAUAAUCGGAUGGCAUCAUUUGAUUAUUAAAACUUCGGUGGUACAAGAUGGGCAUGCGUUUGAUUAGCUAGUUGGCGGGGUAAAGGACCACCAAGGCGAUGAUCAAUAGGGGAACUGAGAGAUUGAUGCCCCAGCAUGGAACUGAGAUACGGGCCAGAAUCCUACGGGAGGCAGCAGUAGGGAAUAUUGGUCAAUGGAUGGAAGUCUGAACCAGCCAUGCCGAGUGCAGGAAGAAGGCCUUCUGGGUUGUAAACUGCUUUUGCCAGGGGAUAAAAAUUAUUUGCGAAGAAAAUUGAAGGUACCUGGUGAAUAAGCACCGGCUAACUACGUGCCAGCAGCCGCCGUAA